AUACGUAGGUGGCAAGCGUUGUCCGGAUUUACUGGGUGUAAAGGGCGUGUAGGCGGAGAUGCAAGUCAGGAGUGAAAUCUAGGGGCUCAACCCCUAAACUGCUUUUGAAACUGUAUCCCUUGAGUAUCGGAGAGGCAGGCGGAAUUCCUAGUGUAGCGGUGAAAUGCGUAGAUAGUAGGAGGAACACCGGUUGCGAAGGCGGGUCUCUGGGCAGUAACUGACGCUGAGGAGCGAAAGCAUGGGUAGCGAACAGGAUUAGAUACCCUGGUAGUCCACGCUGUAAACGAUGAAUACUAGGUGUAGGGGGUAUCAACUCCCUCUGUGCCGCAGCAAACGCAAUAAGUAUUCCGCCUGGGGAGUACGGCCGCAAGGUUGAAACUCAAAUGAAUUGGCGGGG
rnacentral:rRNA from 1 species